rnacentral:lncRNA from 1 species
UAGAUGAUUGGGCUGUAUUUCAUUAAAGUCCUUAUGGGACAAUUUUAAUUGUUUUUAAUGUCGCACACUUGCCAAUAAUGCUUCAGUAUAUAUAUAUAUAUAUAUAUACACACACACACCAAGAGAGUUUAAAGUCUGUUGGGUAACUAUAGUCUUUACAGUAGAACUCGUUAUAGAGCCUAUCAUAAGGGAUAGAUUUCUAAUCAU